rnacentral:lncRNA from 1 species
UCUUCCCUGAUGCGAGGCGCUCGGCGCUGCCGCCCGUGGGACCCGCGGCGAAAGAGAGAGAGAGCGAGAGCGAGAGAGCGUCCCCACCCGUGGGUGUGGGCACUGGGGCCGCACCCGAAGGGAAGAACAGCUGCUGCUUCCCGGCUCCCGCUGCUGCUGCCCCCGGACGGGGAGGAGAGAGAGAGAGAGGGGGGAGCAGCCUCGCCCAGAGAGACAGGCAGAGAGAGAGAGAGAGAGAGAGAGAGAGAGAGAACGAGACGGGGCAGGAGAGGGCAGCAGGUAGGGAGCCAGCCGAAGCGCCGUGGCUGCCCCUCACGAGCCUUCAGCCCCAUGCCUCCCUGGCCAGGACAUGAAGAGGAGAGGGCUCUCCAACAACCAGACUAGAGGGCAUCUGGGAGUUUUAGUGCUCAGCAUGGCUCCCAGGUCCUUCCAGGCGAAUACCUGCCUCUUUGCUGCCUGCCUCUGUCUCUGGAGAGGGUAAGAGAUUAGGGGAUCAAUAUGGGAUGGGCGGGUGGGAGUUCACCACCUUUAUUGGUGCUAUCCAGAAAGAAGGGUUUGGUUGUGAUUAUGUGGGAGGAGAAUUUGGGGGAUUUUGGGGGUGCAGUCCACAAGGGACUUGUCCGGGUCCCUAUGAAUCCUCACAGGGGAGGCCUGCCCUUGGCGUGGAAGGGCAUCUUAUCUGCCCAGUUGGCACUGCAUAGACCAUUACUGCAUCGCCACCACCCCCACAGAGGCAACAACGUGCUCAGUACAGCUUGUACAGCUGCAGACUCAGCCUAGUUUGUUCCCUCCCUCCGUCCCUCCUUUUUCAACAGACAGUGUGCAGUUAUGCACAUGAUUCCCGAAUCUGCCAGGAAAUUGGAGCUUUUAGUGUGGGGUAUAUUGCAAGGUAAAAGGUAAAGGUUUCCCCUGACAUUAAGUCCAGUCGUGACCGACUCUGGGGGUUGGUGCUCAUCUCCAUUUCUAAGCAGAAGAGCCGGCGUUGUACGUAGACACCUCCAAGGUCAUGUGGCUGGCAUGACUGCAUGGAGCGCCGUUACCUUCCCACCGGAGCAGUACCUAUUGAUCUACCCACAUUUGCAUGUUUUCAAACUGCUAGGUUGGCAGGAGCUGGGGCUAACAGCGGGCACACAUUCCGCUCCCGGGAUUUGCACCUGGGACCUUUUGGUCUGCAAGUUCAGCAGCUCAGCGCUUUAACACACUGCGCCACCACCAGGGACCUUAUAUUGCAACCUUCCAGAUUUUGCAGGACAGCAGUUCCCAUCAUCCAUCACCUUAGUCUAGGAUAGCUGAAGGCUGAUGGGCAUUCCAGCCCAACACCAUCUGAAAGGCUACACUUUCUCCCACUGUCAUUUAGAGCAAGAAGCAGGGCAUUGUAGGGUGCAUCUACACCAAAGCUUUCCAAACUCUGCAUCACAAUACGUUGGCGUGUCGGCUGCAGUGUGUAUGUGUGUCAUGCAAAUGUAACAAAAAACUUCAGAGCCUAUGGGAAAUAAGCAACACAUCGUAUAUUUUAAAAAAUAUAUAAAUGAAAGGUUUUCAUAAGAUAAGUUCUGUCUCCAAACAUUCAAUUAUUACAAUUUGUGUCUGUUUCUAUAUCUCUUGUAAGUCUUGGUUUAACCCUUAGUUUGCUAGUAAAACUGAAUUACUGGCCACAAAAUAAUGUAUGUCUAAAAAGUAUGACAUCAACAUGAAAUGUUUGGAAAGCUCUGUUCUACAUUGUAGAAUUGGUGCCAAAUUUUAUUAAUUUUUACUAUCAUGGCUCAAUGCUAUGGCAUCAUGGAAGCUAUGGUUUUACACGAUCUUUAGCUUUCUCUGUCAAAGAGUGCUUCUGGCUCACCAAACAAUUCUCAUCAUUCCAUAGCAUUGAGCCAUGGCAGUUAUAGUGAUGCAAACUGCAUUCAUUCAACAUAGAAGCACCCUCAAAGAUCUUCUAUCAAAGAUGAUAACUGAUUCUAUACUCCGAAGAAACCAUUCCAUCUUAAGUUAUCAUCUUUGAUAACUUAGGAUGGAAUGGUUUUUUCGGAGUAUAGAAUCAUAGAAUCAUAGAGUUGGAAGAGACCUCAUGGGCCAUCGAGUCCAAUCCCCUGCCAAGAAGCAGGAAAACUGCAUUCAAAGCACCCCCGACAGAUGGCCAUCCAGCCUCUGCUUAAAAGCCUCCAAAGACGGAGCCUCCACCACACUCCGGGACAGAGAGUUCCACUGCUGAACAGCUUUCCUUACAGUGAAGAAGUUCUUCCUAAUGUUCAGGUGGAAUCUCCUUUCCUGUAGUUUGAAGCCAUUGUUUUGCAUCCUAGUCUCUAGUACAAGUACAGUGUUGAUUCCUUAAUCUCACAGUUUGGAUGGCUGAAGGGUGCAGAAUGGUCAUGCUCAUGUUUGAAGGAGCUACACCUACUUAUUUUAUGUGUGCCUGGCAUGCACACAUAAAAUAAGUAGGUGUAGCUCCUUCAAACAUGCAUAUAUCCCACAUUUUCCUCCAAGGAGAAGGAGUUCUUCCUUCUUAUUUUUAUCCUCACAACAACCCUGUGAGAUAGGCUAGGCUGAGAGAGAGAGAGAGAGAGAGUUUGGUCCACAGUCAUGCAGCAAUCUUUCUGGCCGACUAAGGAUUUCAAUAUCUCAAGUCUGCAUCUAACUCUAAUUGCCAUACUAUGGUGGAGUAGAGAUUGUUUGAAAUGCUUUAUGUGGCAUCAACUUUAAAUUUUAAGUUGACAGUUUGAUAGGGAUGAAUGAUUUGAGUGACUAAUGGUUUGUGUUUUAUGUUUAUGUGUUUUUAAUCUAUGCUGUUUAAAUAGUUUUAUGUGUUUUAGUUUUGAUCAGAGGUUUGGAAGCCAAGCCCUAUGAGGAACAGCUUAGGGAGCUGGAUAUGUUUAGCUUAGAGAAGAGAAGGUUUAAAGGGGACAUGAUAGCCAUGUUAAAAUAUUUGAAAGGGCGUCCUCAGGAAGAGGGGGCAGGAAAACAGAGCAAUGGAUUCAAAUUGCAGGAAAAGAUAUUUCACCUCAACAUUAGGAAGAAUUUCCUGACGGUAAGAGAUCUUUGGCAGUGGAACAUUCUCCCUCAGAGCAGGGUGGAGAGAUGAACAUCUCUCGGGGAUGUUUUAAUUGUGUGUGUUUUUUUUUUGUUUUGCAAAAAGGGGUUGGACUGGAUGGCCUUUGGGGUAUUUUCCAGCUCUGGGAUUCUGGAAUUCUAUGCUUGCAGUCACCCCAUGGAUGUUUGCCUGCUGAUCCAAGAUGGCCAGGCAAGUGGCUAGCACAAGUAUAUCUGCUAUGUGUGGCUGAUUGAAUUCCUGUACUAGACACAGACAGAUAUGCAUCCAAAGAAUGGGAGUUUGCAAAAUUCCCUUCCUUGGUGGGGUUCAUCAUGUAAGAUGGGCUUUCCCCAUUUUCCUCAAUGGGGCUCCUCAACACCAUUAGGGGAAGCACUAUUAUAACCAUCAGAAACUGAGUAUUUACGACACUGUUUUAGUGCUAUUGUUCCCCUUUAAUUCUAUGGUACCAUUCUAUGAGAUUCUGAAAUUUGCAGUUGGGGGGUAGGACAUUGCUGGUGCCUGUGACCAAAGCACUCCAAAACUAUAUAGAUUGUGUUCAUAGCAGUUCAAGUGGAAUCAGAAGCUGUGUAAUGUGAAGGGAUGUAUGCUUCAUUGGAGUUUUGGGACUUUGAUGACACCAUCUCAUCAGAUGCAUAUGUGCUCUGAGGACAGUGUGCACACGAAUGCACCAGGGUUCAAUGGUCCACUUGGAAACCCACUGGGUGACCUUGCAUGAGUCACACAUUCUCAGCCCCAGAAAAUCCCAUUAUAGGUUCGCCUUAAGGAUUGGCAAAAGUCAGAAUCUCCUGAAAAAAAACACAACCACAACAAAUAGUGAAACAAACCCGUGUUAUAAUAAUAAUAAUAAUAAUAAUAAUAAUAAUAAUAAUAAUAAUAAUAAUUCUAUUUUUAUACCCCGCCCCAUCUCCCCAAAGGGACUCGGGGCGGCUUACAUGUUACAGGUGGUCAAAGUUUGAUAGAACCACUCUUUUGAUCCUAUAUUUCAUGUAAUGCCAUGAGAAUAUGUUUUUGGCUCAGGACUCAUCAUGUGGCCCUGGGAACUGGUUUGAUCACAUGAGAACUCACGACUCCCUUGCUGUAACAGUUUCACUGGUUCUGCUCUUUUUCUAGG